GGCCUCAACUACAACGUCUCCGAGCCGCUCACUCGGACGAAUUACGUCCUCUGGCGAGCCCAGGCGCGAUCCCAGAUAAUGGGCUCCGGCCUGUAUGGCUACAUCGACCAAACCAGUGCAGAACCCCCCAAGAUCAUCACCGCCAAGGACAAGGACGGCAAGGAUCAGGUGAUCACCAACCCUGCCUAUGUCCCCUGGUUAGUUCAAGAUCAACAGAUCAUUGCGUAUCUACUUCAAAAUCUAUCCAAAGAGGUGCUGGUUCAAGUAGCAUCGAUGGAAACAUCGCACGCGAUCUAGAUGGCUCUGACCAACAUGUUCUCUGCCGUCUCGCUCUCCCGCAUCAACAACAUUCGUGCCUCCCUCACCAACGCUCGGAAGGGCAACCAGCCGGCGGCGACCUACUUUGGGCAUGCGUACUCUCUCCGACGAGCUUGCAGCGGCAGGCAAACCGAUUGGGGAGAAUGA
rnacentral:rRNA from 1 species